GAGUAACACGUGGGGAAUCUGCCCAGAAGCAGGGGAUAACACUUGGAAACAGGUGCUAAUACCGUAUAACAACAAAAUCCGCAUGGAUUUUGUUUGAAAGGUGGCUUCGGCUAUCACUUCUGGAUGAUCCCGCGGCGUAUUAGUUAGUUGGUGAGGUAAAGGCCCACCAAGACGAUGAUACGUAGCCGACCUGAGAGGGUAAUCGGCCACAUUGGGACUGAGACACGGCCCAAACUCCUACGGGAGGCAGCAGUAGGGAAUCUUCCACAAUGGACGAAAGUCUGAUGGAGCAAUGCCGCGUGAGUGAAGAAGGGUUUCGGCUCGUAAAACUCUGUUGUUAAAGAAGAACACCUUUGAGAGUAACUGUUCAAGGGUUGACGGUAUUUAACCAGAAAGCCACGGCUAACUACGUGCCAGCAGCCGCGGUAAUACGUAGGUGGCAAGCGUUGUCCGGAUUUAUUGGGCGUAAAGCGAGCGCAGGCGGUUUUUUAAGUCUGAUGUGAAAGCCUUCGGCUUAACCGGAGAAGUGCAUCGGAAACUGGGAGACUUGAGUGCAGAAGAGGACAGUGGAACUCCAUGUGUAGCGGUGGAAUGCGUAGAUAUAUGGAAGAACACCAGU
rnacentral:rRNA from 2 species